ACGGCGAGUGAAGCGGCAACAGCUCAAAUUUGAAAUCUGGCGCAAGCCCGAGUUGUAAUUUGUAGAGGAUGCUUCUGGGCAGCGGCCGGUCUAAGUUCCUUGGAACAGGACGUCAUAGAGGGUGAGAAUCCCGUAUGCGACCGGCUUGCACCCGUCACGUAGCUCCUUCGACGAGUCGAGUUGUUUGGGAAUGCAGCUCUAAAUGGGAGGUAAAUUUCUUCUAAGGCUAAAUACCGGCCAGAGACCGAUAGCGCACAAGUAGAGUGAUCGAAAGAUGAAAAGCACUUUGGAAAGAGAGUUAAAAAGCACGUGAAAUUGUUGAAAGGGAAGCUCACGCAACCAGACUUGUCGGCGGUGUUCCGCCGGUCUUCUGACCGGUCUACUCGCCGCCGGCAGGCCAGCAUCACUUGGGAGCGCCGGAUAAAGGCGUGCGGAAUGUAACCCCUCGGGGUAUUAUAGCCGCGCGCACAAUACGGCGCCUCCCGAGUGAGGUCCGCGCUUCGGCUAGGAUGCUGGCGUAA
rnacentral:rRNA from 1 species